UUUUGGAAGUAAAAAUCGUAACAAGGUUUCCGUAGGUGAACCUUCGGAAGGAUCAUUACCAAACAAAAUAGUUCGGGCUGCGCCUUGCAACAACCGUCAGGCCAGGAGCCCAGCUCCCGGAGGCGCGGCUGCCGGCAUCCUCUGUCUAUGAGUACCGUUUGUUCCCUCGGCGGGCGCAUACCCCGCCGAUGGGCCACCUGAAAACCCUUUUGACUGAAGCACUAUACCUCUGAUCGUGGGCUUGAAUCGUUUACAACUUUCAACAACGGAUCUCUUGGUUCUGGCAUCGAUGAAGAACGCAGCGAAAUGCGAUAAGUAAUGUGAAUUGCAGAAUUCAGUGAAUCAUCGAAUCUUUGAACGCACAUUGCGCCCCUUGGUACUCCAUGGGGCAUGCCUGUUCGAGCGUCAUUUGACACCCUCAAGCACUGCUUGGUGUUGGGCACCUGUCCCGCGGCUCUGCGCGGGACUUGCCCCAAAGUCAUUGGCAGCUGUCCUGUCGGCCUCCAGCGCAGCACUGCGCGCUCGAGGGGCUUGUUUGCAGGCUCAGCGUCCACGAAGGCGUCCUUUUUUCUACAAUCUGACCUCGGAUCAGGUGAGAGCAG
rnacentral:rRNA from 1 species